GGUAUUUUUGAGAGCUACAAGACCUAGGGCAUAUAAAUACUCCCCAAGAACUUAUUCUCUGCACCUUUUAUCACCUUUUAUCAUAUUUUACUUUUCCUGAGAGCUGUGAGAGACGGAGAACGGAGCCAGAGCAAGAACUAAAGAUUCUCGAUUCUACUACGGUUUUAUUGUUGAAUGUUUUACAGUUUUAUUGAGAAUUAUGUUCUAGUUCAUAUGUCUAUGUGUGGCUAGAAUCCCUUUUUCC
rnacentral:lncRNA from 1 species